rnacentral:rRNA from 1 species
AUGACGCUAGCUACAGGCUUAACCCAUGCAAGUCGAGGGGCAUCAAAUUGGUUGCUUGCAACCGAUGUUGCGACCGGCGCACGGGUGAGUAACGCGUAUCCAACCUUCCCUUUACUCUGGUAUAGCCCAGCGAAAGUUGGAUUAAUACCGGAUGUUAUCGAAAGCUCUCAUGAGACUUUGAUCAAAGAUUUUAUCGGUAAAGGAUGGGGAUGCGUCUGAUUAGGCAGUUGGCGGGGUAACGGCCCACCAAACCGACGAUCAGUAGGGGUUCUGAGAGGAAGGUCCCCCACAUUGGAACUGAGACACGGUCCAAACUCCUACGGGAGGCAGCAGUGAGGAAUAUUGGUCAAUGGACGUAAGUCUGAACCAGCCAAGUAGCGUGCAGGAUGACUGCCCUAUGGGUUGUAAACUGCUUUUAUGCGGGGAUAAAGUCAGCCACGUGUGGUUGUUUGCAGGUACCGCAUGAAUAAGGAC